rnacentral:misc_RNA from 1 species
AACGCACAUUGCGCCUCUCGGUAUUCCGGGAGGCACGCCUGUUCGAGCGCCAUUACACACUCCAAGCAGCAGCUUGAUGUUGGGCGACGUCUGCGAGGCCUGAGACUUUUUCCCCGAGAGGGGGAGGAGGCGGAGGCGGAGGACGCGCCUGGAACGCGUGGGCGGCGGAGGCCAGACCGCGAGCCUAGCAAGACGAAGACGUCACAACCGCUCUGACGGAUCUGGUGGACGACCAGCCUCUGGUUUGCAUGUUUGAAUGAAGAUGCAACGACCCCAACGAGUUUGGCCUCGGAUCAGGCGGGGAUACCCGCUGAACUUAA